CUGAAUAAUGGACUACCCCUUAUUUUAAUGAACACUUUUCAUUGGUCUGUAUUAAAUAUAUAAAUAUACACAAUUGAUUAAUUGAUUGAUUAAUUGUUUGAACAUUGUGGGAAUCAUGUUCAACUUGCAUCUUCUACUUUAAAAAUGAGACAGUACGUUGCUUGCUAAAGUAUCUGUAUUACUUAUCAGGUAAAACAUGAAGCACAUAAACAUAAAGUGACAGGCCUAGAGUACUGAGAGGCCAAUGGUGGACAUCAGAUGAAACUAUUAAGAAGGCAAACAAGAAGGACUACUACAUGUAAAACCAUUUGCAGAGGCAGAUACAGCUUCAUGUAGACCAGGGCAAACAAGAACCACAUAAACACCAAAGGAUCAGUGGAGGAAGAGAAAUACAUCAGACAAGGAAGGAUUUCUCUGUGGCCAGAAGAUUGAGGGAAGAGAAAGGCAAAGGCAAAGGCAAGACACUGGAGGCAAUAUUAAGAAGUUAGGACACUAAAGACAGACAUACAUGAAGCACACAAGGGACCAAAGUAAGAAGGAUUGAGAGAUUGUUUCAAGCCAAAAAGUAGGGCGUGGAUGUUUUCGGUGAUGUUUUCCUCACAAUUAAAUAGAACACGAAGGCUAUCAAUUAAAAAUGACCUGGCUCGGCAAAAUAAUUUACAGUUAGGUUUUGUAGUAAAUUUUUUUUCAGCUUUGCUUUACAAAUUUUGAUCCAUUUUUAAUCUUUUUUUGUCUUUGUUCACGAUGGGAGAGCUCGGUGAAUUGUGUGACUGACGCGUUCGUGACAUGAAAAUCAGUGGUGUUGCGUUACACUAGCGGCCGUUGAGAGUUUGUUUAUAAGGCUUUUUGCGGGAAUUUCAAUACCAUUAGGAGAUUCAACUGGGAAGUUAUCAAAUAAAGAUUGUGAAGAGCUAUUUGACAUUUUGUUGGCUCGUUUAGACAAACAGCUAGGCAGCAGGGUACCAAACGAAACUUUCUUUUCCUUAUUAUUCAAAUUACCAGUUAAAAUACGGCAACAUUUCCUGAACUUGAAUAAUUCCCGUGUUAAACUUUUUAACAUAUUCCGAAUAGACAUCAGCAUAACGCAGCACCAUUGUUGUUCAAUAGUCACGAACGUUUCUAUCAUAUGAUUUACCGAGUUCUCGUAUCGUGAGCUUUGGUAAGUCUUUGAUUUUCCUUGAGAAGCAAAUUUUUAUAGUUAGCCUUCGUGUUUAGAAUCACAACUUUUUGUUAGUUUCUUUCACGGACCACUAUUUCAGAAUGGAUUGUCUUUUAAAAAAAUUUCUCAGCCAAAAGCGAUUUUAAAAAGUUUUUCUUCGAACCAGAAUUUGAAAAAAAAAAUGUUGCUGCUAAGGUUUUGUUGAGUUAUUUCAAGCGUAUUCCAUCGAGUUAGUUUUGUACAAAAUCAAUCACUUGUGUUUAUUAAACGCGUUCUAAAAAUUG